rnacentral:rRNA from 1 species
UACAGAGGGUGCGAGCGUUGUUCGGAAUUAUUGGGCGUAAAGGGCGCGUAGGCGGCGCGGUAAGUCACCUGUGAAAUCUCCUGGCUCAACUGGGAGCCUGCAGGCGAAACUGCCGUGCUGGAGUGUGGGAGAGGUGCGUGGAAUUCCCGGUGUAGCGGUGAAAUGCGUAGAUAUCGAGAGGAACACCUGCGGCGAAGGCGGGUUGCUGGGCCGACACUGACGCUGAUGCGCGAAAGCCAGGGGAGCGAACGGG